rnacentral:rRNA from 1 species
GAUGAACGCUAGCGGGAGGCCUAACACAUGCAAGCCGAGCGGUAUUGUUUCUUCGGACAUGAGAGAGCGGCGUACGGUUGCGUAACACGUGUGCAACCUGCCUUUAUCUGGGGGAUAGCCUUUCGAAAGGAAGAUUAAUACUCCAUAAUAUAUUGAACGGCAUCGUUUAAUAUUGAAAGCUCCGGCGGAUAGAGAUGGGCACGCGCAAGAUUAGCUAGUUGGUGAGGUAACGGCUCACCAAGGCGAUGAUCUUUAGGGGGCCUGAGAGGGUGAUCCCCCACACUGGUACUGAGACACGGACCAGACUCCUACGGGAGGCAGCAGUGAGGAAUAUUGGUCAAUGGGUGCAAGCCUGAACCAGCCAUCCCGCGUGAAGGACGACUGCCCUAUGGGUUGUAAACUUCUUUUGUAUAGGGAUAAACCUACCCUCGAGAGGGUAGCUGAAGGUACUAUACGAAUAAGCACCGGCUAACUCCGUG